rnacentral:rRNA from 1 species
UACGGAGGGUGCAAGCGUUAAUCGGAAUUACUGGGCGUAAAGGGUACGCAGGCGGUCUAUUAAGUCAGAUGUGAAAGCCCCGAGCUUAACUUGGGAACUGCAUCUGAAACUGGUAGGCUAGAGUCUUGUUGAGGGGGGUGGAAUUCCAUGUGUAGCGGUGAAAUGCGUAGAGAUGUGGAAGAAUACCGGUGGCGAAGGCGGCCCCCUGGACAAAGACUGACGCUCAGGUGCGAAAGCGUGGGGAGCAAACAGG